rnacentral:piRNA from 1 species
UGAACUGUAUUGAUAAAAAUU